rnacentral:rRNA from 1 species
UGCAUCGAUGAAGAACGCAGCGAAAUGCGAUACGUAGUGUGAAUUGCAGAAUUCCGCGAAUCAUCGAGUCUUUGAACGCAAGUUGCGCCCGAGGCUUGUCCAAGGGCAUUUCCGCUAGAGCGUCACCGCGCCCCCCACCGAUCCACUCCCGCCGGGAGUCGGGUCGAGUGGAAGUGGCCAUCCCGGUGGGCCUUCUGCAUCUUGUUGAAGAGAGGAAGGACUUGAGGGUUGGCUGAAAUGCAGGGAAUCGGGCCGCCGUGGUGACACAGUCCGCGAUCGGGUGAUUUGGGGGCUCCUCCGGGAGUCCUGAAUUUUUCUAAGUGCGUGGCUGCGUCCCCCAGUCGGUGUUGGUGUUACCUCAUGCAGGUCGAGCGCGCCCCCGCGGCGCGCGUCACGCAUCAGACCUCUAAUCGGAAAAGACUACCCGCUGAGUUUAAGCAUAUCAAUAAGCGGAGGA